rnacentral:rRNA from 1 species
UACAGAGGGUGCGAGCGUUAAUCGGAUUUACUGGGCGUAAAGCGCACGUAGGCGGCUUGGUAUGUCGGGUGUGAAAUCCCCGGGCUCAACCUGGGAACUGCAUUCGAAACUGCCUUGCUAGAGGAUGGGAGAGGGAAGUGGAAUUUCCGGUGUAGCGGUGAAAUGCGUAGAUAUCGGAAGGAACAUCAGUGGCGAAGGCGACUUCCUGGACCAAUACUGACGCUCAGGUGCGAAAGCGUGGGGAGCAAACAGG